GACGUAGGGGGCCAGCGUUGUUCGGAAUUACUGGGUGUAAAGGGUUCGUAGGCGGUGCGGCAAGUUGGGAGUGAAAUCUCUGGGCUUAACCCAGAGGCUGCUUCCAAAACUGCCGUGCUUGAGUGUGGGAGAGGCGCGUGGAAUUGCAGGUGUAGCGGUGAAAUGCGUAGAUAUCUGCAGGAACACCCGUGGCGAAAGCGGCGCGCUGGACCACAACUGACGCUGAUGCACGAAAGCUAGGGAAG
rnacentral:rRNA from 1 species